rnacentral:rRNA from 1 species
AUACGUAGGGGGCGAGCGUUGUCCGGAAUGACUGGGCGUAAAGGGCGUGUAGGCGGCGGAUUAAGUCUGGAGUGAAAGUCCUGCUUUCAAUGUGGGAAUUGCUUUGGAUACUGCAGUGCUAGAGUGCGGAAGAGGUAAGUGGAAUUCCCAGUGUAGCGGUGAAAUGCGUAGAGAUUGGGAGGAACACCAGUGGCGAAGGCGACUUACUGGGCCGUAACUGACGCUGAGGCGCGAAAGCGUGGGGAGCGAACAGGAUUAGAUACCCUGGUAGUCCACGCGGUAAACGAUGAAUGCUAGGUGUUGCGGGUAUCGACCCCUGCAGUGCCGGAGUAAACACAAUAAGCAUUCCGCCUGGGGAGUACGGCCGCAAGGUUGAAACUCAAAUGAAUUGACGGGG